rnacentral:rRNA from 1 species
UACGUAGGGUGCAAGCGUUGUCCGGAAUUAUUGGGCGUAAAGAGCUCGUAGGCGGUCUGUCACGUCGGCUGUGAAAACCUAGGGCUCAACCUGGGCCUGCAGCCGAUACGGGCAGACUAGAGUGCGGUAGGGGAGAUUGGAAUUCCUGGUGUAGCGGUGGAAUGCGCAGAUAUCAGGAGGAACACCGAUGGCGAAGGCAGAUCUCUGGGCCGUAACUGACGCUGAGGAGCGAAAGCAUGGGGAGCAAACAGG